GGUAAGAUGGCCGAGCGGUCUAAGGCGCCAGGUUAAGGUUAGCUUAACGAAAUAAUUCCUGGUCCAGGUAACUGGGCGUGAGUUCGAAUCUCACUCUUAUCA